ACGCGCGACGACGGGGUCGCAAGGAAGGCUGGAAGGAGACGCGGGGGUUCUCGGGCCCGGAGGCCGAGGAGAGAUGAGAGGGAGACCGCGGAGGGGAGGGGGGGUCCCGCGCGUGCCGUGCGCCACCCCCGGAGCUCGGCUUCCAACUAAAACAAGCCCCCCGACCAAACUAAAACUCAGAGAGAGGAGAACAAGGGAAUGACGGGAAAAGGGUGGAGACGCGGAAAUCUCGCGCGGUUUUACGACAAAAAUCGCUCAAAGCGCCAGGAGCUACGGAAGCUGAGCGGGACCAAGCCAGGCCGCCUGAACGUGAAAUCCACAGAACGUGCUACCUGCAAAACGCAUCCUUCCUGCUUUUCUUGGACAGAGGCGCCUAAUAGUGCAAACCGUGCAAAUCUCAGUUUUAAUGCCCAAUACUUUAAUGGGAAGCAGUACGUAGCAGUCUGGGAACAACCACCGGGAUCCAGUAGCUCCCAGUUUAAACGCAUAAUUCCCCAAGAUAACACUAAGCCCUUCUCAGUGAAUAAAAUACCAAGCUAAAGAAUGGA